rnacentral:rRNA from 1 species
CGGGUGCGUAACACGUGGGUAACCUGCCCUUUGGUGGGGAAUAACCUCGCGAAAGCGAGGCUAAUUCCGCAUACGAUCCGCAAGGAUGAAAGCCGCAAGGCGCCGAACGAGGGGCCCGCGCACGAUUAGUUAGUUGGUAGGGUAACGGCCUACCAAGACUAUGAUCGUUAGCUGGUCUGAGAGGAUGGCCAGCCACACUGGAACUGAGACACGG